GGAAUUUACCUUGACAGUAAAAGGAAUGUGACAGUGAUAAGACUUAGUAUACCUGUAACGAGAAUAUUAUAAUUAUUCAUGGAAAAUUAGUUUUUCAGAGAAGGUGUUACUAAUUUCAAAAUUUGUUUUAAGAUAUAUGCGUUUAAACAUUGUUGUGUGCUAUAAUUUCGAAUGGAUAAAUGCUACAUUUUGAAAUAUAAAAGGAUAUGUCUGCAUGAAGGCUCAAUUAUAAAUGAAAUAAAAAAGGAAAGGCGUUGAGUAACGGCAUCAUGUGGUGUUCAUUGGUUCUGUUUGGAGUUACAACUGGGAUCGUUUAUACUGGUGCAGUUUGUCCAUCAUGGUAUUAUUCUAAUAACGGACGAUGUUAUCGAUACUUCUCUACAAAACUUUCCUGGCAAGAUGCAAGAUAUUAUUGCUGGUCAGAGUACAGUGGGGACUUGCUUAGUAUCCAUACAUAUUCUCUGAAAAGUAAUGUAUGGAGUCACACUGAACAGAUAGACGGAGAGUUAUGGGUCGGAGCGAUUAGCGGAUACAAAUGGUUGGAUGGAGGAAGAAUACCAUCGGACUGGUAUUUAGAGGGUGAGCCAAAUAAGGACGAUGAAAACUGUGUAGAGGUAGAGGCACGAGGACAUGAAACAGGUCUGAAUGACGCUUAUUGUGAUAUAGAACAGGAGUUUGCGUGUCAAGCUGACGAAUGCUACUCGAUUGCAAACUGCAUUGAGGGCAGUAGAUGUAGUUGGCAAAGUUCUUGGUUUAGCAGGGACAUAUGCGAUAAAUGUGUUACAGGAUAUUACAGUGGUGGACAAGGAAAUGGAUGUAGAGUAUGUAGAGCUAUUGCAAACUGCGCAGAAGAAACGUGUACAAGUCCAACAGACCAGACCUGCAACACAUGUGUCAACAAUAACGUGUACUUCAAGUUGACGAAUAAUGCCAGAAGUUGCGACCGCAUGUGUUCGUCUGAUAAUCAUUAUUGCUGGCCAGGAUCAUGUAUUGAAAGUUUAGCGUCAAACUGUGAGUGCAGCACAGGAUUUAGAAAGCAUUCCACGACAUUAGAGACGUUGUGCCAACCGGAAACCAAACCAGAGAUUCAUAGCUGCCAUACAGUAUUCACUGGACCCAAUGGAGAGAAAAAACGGUUAGCCAGCAAUACGCAAUCUUCGCAUUGCCAGUAUUUGCAGGGACACUUAUGGGAAUUUCCAGCCGACAACAAUUACAUUCAAUAUGACAUCCGAAUAUACGAUAGAUAUUUCUGCACUGCCUCGGCCAGGAUACAUCCAAACGGAACUUUUUGGAGUUACAGACACAGCAGUACUUAUACUAAAGCAAUCAUCCUCAGGUCAGGAGACAGUUAUUAGUUCACACCAGAUGAAGACUGACACCACAUCUAGUAGAGAGGCACAGAGGCUUGUUCGAAACGAUGACGUAUUAUUAGUUGAACACUCAAAAUACACUUUGAUAAAUGGAGAUGCUCUAUGUGUAAAAUACAAAGCAGAAGGUGGAGGCUACUUUGAAAGCAAAAAUUUGUACAAUUCACAAAUUGAAACAGUUACAUAUGAUAAAACAGUAACCUACGGAAACGAAAUGCUACAGAUUUGAUAAUGCUCCUCCUGAACAUUGUUCAGAAGGAAAUUUCUGCCAAAAUGAACCACUACAAACUCGGGUAAAGAUUUACACGAUCAGGUAUUGUAGAUAUUGCAUUCAAUGGAUGGUCUGAUCCAGUACCAAAUCAGAAGUUUCCGUCCCAGGCAUCUGGCAUUGAACAUUUUGAAGUGAGAGUAAGCGAGGUUAUCCCGGCGGGCGAUCAGUUGAAAGUUGACACUAGUAUCUAUUACGAAGAAAAGGUGUCUACUUCUUCAACAAAAGACGUCACACUUAAUCUAACUACUUCUGCACCUAGACUGUACUCUGUGCUUUUAGAGGUUAAAGAUAUAGCUGACAACAUACGUACAAGCUCGAAGAUUUGUCUUAUCCGAUAGCACUUCGAUUUUAAAAGUAUGGGAAGAUAAUCCGUUUUUCAUUAAUUCAGCCUCAAGGGAGACGGAGUAUACUUGGCAAACCAACUUCGACAAAGUAUGUCUGACAUGGAAAGAGCAUUUCUACAACGACUUCUAUUUGCACAACCCCUUACUCAGUCCGAUAGAACCGGAUCCACACGGAUUAAUUACAGGCGUAUAUGAGCAUUACAGAAGGAAUACUAUCCGUUCACGGUACACCUAAUGUCCAUGGCAUUAUACAAUAUUUAGUUUCAUGGAGGCUGAAUGAGGGCUCAGUCACUAAGGAAAUAGAGGUUGAAAAUUUUCGCCACCAAAACUGUUUGUCAGGAUUUUGAUCUUAAGGACGGACAGACGUACACGUUUUUCAUCAGUCCCGUAGAUAUUGUUCAAAAUACUGCUAACAGAAAAUAGAACGGUUCAUAUCGAUACAUCUCCACCUCAUAUUGAUGGAAUCGGUCUCAUAAAAGACGAAUUCAAGGGGCUUACUGUACACGACGAAAGAGACUUGUCAAAGAUGGAACUUUACUUUGAAGCUUUGGAUCCACAUAGUGGGAUCCAUAAUGUGGAAUGGUGGUUUGGGACGGCAGGACACAGGACAUAAUCUCGAUAGUGGGGUACUGGGUGUUAAACGUAUUGAAGGGGAUUGCGAAGACGAUACCCAGGCAUGCUACUGCCCAGAUUUUGGAAAUUGUGAGAAGUCAUGCCUACAUCAUACCACUGAAUAAGCUAGUUGUAGCGCACAAGCAUCUCGGUGAUCACAAUCGGAACUACUUUUUCCAGUUAAAGGCAAUAAACAACGCACGCAUUUCGGCGACUGAAUAUGUUACAAUACUGGUAGAUUACUCACCACCGGAAGUCGGUGUAAUUCAUGAGGGUUCGGUGGAUGGAAAAGAUAUUGACUACACAAGUGAGGAUACUAUUGCUGUGCAUUGGUAUGGAUUUGUCGAUCAUGAAAGUGGAAUCAAAAUGUAUCGAAUUGGAUUUGCAGAUCGUUGCCUACUUAGGGAGGAAUUGUACGAUUAUAAAAACUUAACGGAUAUCAUAGAACACACAGAAGUUGGUUCCUUAGAAAACAAUGUACGGAUUGCCGUAGACUUUACAGGAAAAAUGUAUGUGUCUAUUAUAGCAUUCAACAAUGCAAUGGACCCUUCCGAAUCAGUUUGUUCUGAUGGUAUAACUCGUGAUAUUGAUCCCCCUAAAUUUUAUAAUCUAUCCGUUGAACAUUUGUCUGUACCUGUUACACUCCUCUGCCUUGACAAGGAAAUUUUGAUUCUGAACUCAUCUUUGUCUUUAUAUCCCCUUCCAACUGACAGUAUAUGUGGUAUUCGGUGUUCGGUCAGCGACAGCCUAUUGUCUUUUAUUCAUUCUCUUCCUAAAGAGAAAGCUUUCUACACAGAAACCGUAAGAAGUGUGUGAUAAGAUAAGAUAUUCCAAUAACACGAUUCUGUUUCUUCCGAACGAUUACAUAAGUCUUAGUUGGGACAUCGAUAGCGGAAGUCAAAUAGACAAUUUCUAUGUCGGAAUUGGACUCGAUCCAAGCGAAUCUAACAGUCCUCAAUUGAUACCAUAUACAUCCACGGUUGGAAAAACGCACUUCAAACAUCGGCAUGAAGGUCUAAGCUCACAGGAAAUAUUCUACGUUUUUGUUAAAGCGGUCAGUAAAUCUGCGUUGGAAGAAGUUAUUACGAUAGGUCCUA
rnacentral:misc_RNA from 1 species